AGUUUGAUCAUGGCUCAGGAUGAACGCUAGCGGCAGGCCUAAUACAUGCAAGUCAAGGGGCCAGCAAUGGCACCGGCGGACGGGUGCGUAACGCGUACACAACGUACCUCUGACGAGGGGGAUAGCAUUGGGAAACUGGUGGUAAUACCCCAUAGUAUUGCUGGGAGGCAUUUCUCGGCGAUUAAAGUUACGGCGGUCAGAGAUCGGUGUGCGUCCGAUUAGCUAGUUGGCGGGGUAACGGCCCACCAAGGCGACGAUCGGUAGGGGGUGUGAGAGCAUGACCCCCCACAUGGGUACUGAGACACGGACCCAACUCCUACGGGAGGCAGCAGUGGGGAAUUUUGGACAAUGGGCGCAAGCCUGAUCCAGCCAUUCCGCGUGCAGGAUGAAGGCCUUCGGGUUGUAAACUGCUUUUGUACGGAACGAAACGGUCUGCCCUAAUACGGCGGGCUAAUGACGGUACCGUAAGAAUAAGCACUGGCUAACUACGUG
rnacentral:rRNA from 1 species